AAAGGAACUAAGGGCGCACAGUGGAUGCCUUG
rnacentral:rRNA from 1 species